AUACAUGCAAGUCGAGCGGACGGAAGGGAGCUUGCUCCCGGAUGUUAGCGGCGGACGGGUGAGUAACACGUGGGUAACCUGCCUGUAAGACUGGGAUAACUCCGGGAAACCGGAGCUAAUACCGGAUAGUUCCUUGAACCGCAUGGUUCAAGGAUGAAAGACGGUUUCGGCUGUCACUUACAGAUGGACCCGCGGCGCAUUAGCUAGUUGGUGAGGUAACGGCUCACCAAGGCGACGAUGCGUAGCCGACCUGAGAGGGUGAUCGGCCACACUGGGACUGAGACACGGCCCAGACUCCUACGGGAGGCAGCAGUAGGGAAUCUUCCGCAAUGGACGAAAGUCUGACGGAGCAACGCCGCGUGAGUGAUGAAGGUUUUCGGAUCGUAAAGCUCUGUUGUUAGGGAAGAACAAGUGCAAGAGUAACUGCUUGCACCUUGACGGUACCUAACCAGAAAGCCACGGCUAACUACGUGCCAGCAGCCGCGGUAAUACGUAGGUGGCAAGCGUUGUCCGGAAUUAUUGGGCGUAAAGGGCUCGCAGGCGGUUUCUUAAGUCUGAUGUGAAAGCCCCCGGCUCAACCGGGGAGGGUCAUUGGAAACUGGGAAACUUGAGUGCAGAAGAGGAGAGUGGAAUUCCACGUGUAGCGGUGAAAUGCGUAGAGAUGUGGAGGAACACCAGUGGCGAAGGCGACUCUCUGGUCUGUAACUGACGCUGAGGAGCGAAAGCGUGGGGAGCGAACAGGAUUAGAUACCCUGGUAGUCCACGCCGUAAACGAUGAGUGCUAAGUGUUAGGGGGUUUCCGCCCCUUAGUGCUGCAGCUAACGCAUUAAGCACUCCGCCUGGGGAGUACGGUCGCAAGACUGAAACUCAAAGGAAUUGACGGGGGGCCCGCACAAGCGGUGGAGCAUGUGGUUUAAUUCGAAGCAACGCGAAGAACCUUACCAGGUCUUGACAUCCUCUGACAACCCUAGAGAUAGGGCUUUCCCUUCGGGGACAGAGUGACAGGUGGUGCAUGGUUGUCGUCAGCUCGUGUCGUGAGAUGUUGGGUUAAGUCCCGCAACGAGCGCAACCCUUGAUCUUAGUUGCCAGCAUUCAGUUGGGCACUCUAAGGUGACUGCCGGUGACAAACCGGAGGAAGGUGGGGAUGACGUCAAAUCAUCAUGCCCCUUAUGACCUGGGCUACACACGUGCUACAAUGGACAGAACAAAGGGCUGCGAGACCGCAAGGUUUAGCCAAUCCCACAAAUCUGUUCUCAGUUCGGAUCGCAGUCUGCAACUCGACUGCGUGAAGCUGGAAUCGCUAGUAAUCGCGGAUCAGCAUGCUUCGGGGAAUACGGUUCCGGGCCUUGUUCACACCACCCGUCACAGCACGCGAGUUG
rnacentral:rRNA from 1 species